ensembl:lncRNA
AUUAUGUCACUGAGGUGGAAAGAUUGGUCUGUCCUGCCUGGCCUGGUUCUGUGAUAGACACCCCUCUCUCAGGCCUCUAAUCUUGGGUGGUUUCUCUGGGGGCCUUCAGCACUGUUGGACAGAUAGACACAGCCAAGCACUGGAUUAACCUCUUUGUGCCUGGACCUUGGGAAUGCAGAGCUCUGGAUUGUUCUUCCUCUUGUUACUGCUUGGGGAAGUCAUCUCGACCUAGUGGGCCUGGAAGUCAAGAGACCCCUGUGCUCUCUAGACAGACAGAGACACAGAAAGACAGAAAGAAAUGGAGACAGAGAGACCGAGAGAGAUGGAGGAAGAGAUGGCUAGUGGUCCACCACUCACUUGUUUAAGGGUGAACUAAAAAAGCCAGUCAUUCGAUAAGCCUCAGUUCCCUCCCCUGUAAAAUGAGAGAGGCUAAACUUCAAGAUUUUUUGCAACUCUAUAACUUCACAUCAUACGUCCUAAUGUUCCUCUGACUUCCAAUAUUCUAUAUUCUAAUGUCCCUUUCAGCUCUAUCAUUCAGUGUUCUAAGGCUCCUUCCAGCGCCAACAUUCCACAUUCUCUAUGUUAAGUCUCUUCCAGCUUCAAGAAGAGUUUUAAGACUCUGACAUUCUGUGACUGAGGUGAUGUUUUUAGGGGAGGGAAAAGCAGGAAAUCACAAAGCGCCUCCAGCUUUGGAAAAUCCAUAAGUUUUCUUUCUGCAGCCUGUAUUUUGGAUGGACCAGACUUCUUCCCAAGCAGGAGGUACCAUGUUCUAAACAAACUGGCCUGCCAAGCCUUUCCCUGAUCUCAUCCUGCCCUCUCUCCAGUCUCUGUGCAUCUCCACAAACCAUUCUUCAGACUCAACAGAUGUGAUGGACUCCCUCCUCAUCGCUGCCUCUCUUCCUUCAAGCAUUGACAUUCCACCUUGGAGAGAGUGCUCAGAGAGUUGGCCUCAAAUACAAGAAGACCUGGGUUUAAGUCCCACCUCUGCCAUGUCCUGGCUUUGUAACUCUGGCUCCUGCUCUGGCUCCUGCUCCUGGUCUCCCUCUUGCUCACCUGGCCCAGCUGAUCCUGACCCGCCAGCAACUCUGACCUCUGACCCAGAUGGCUCAUCGCCCCAGGACCAGCUUCAUGACCCAGCCUGCUGGCAGCAGACCCAAUUUCUUCAGGAUAAAAAAAAAAAAACAGUUGGUAAAAAAAAUGGGGGUGAUUUUUCCUUAGGCUAUGAUUAGCCUCCACUGUUGCAAGGGGCAGGGGGCAUGGGGGGGGGGGGAGAAAGAGGGAAAGAAGGAAGAGAUUUUUCCAAACAGAAACUUACAAGCAUGGGGUAUUUAAAAGGAUAUCUUUUGACUGUAUUGAUUCUUUCACUUAACUCACCUGGAAGUCAGGAGAGAAUUUCAACUCCCUGCAAUUCUUGGGUCAAAUAUGAGAUUCCCAAAACCCACCCUCACUAUGGGAAGGCAGCUCAGAGGCUCAGUGGCUCAGUGAAUUGAGAGCCAGGCCUAGAGAUGGGAGGUCCUUGGUUGAAAUCUGGCCUCAAAGACUUCCUGGUGGUGUGGCCCUGGGCAGUCAUUUAACCCCCAUUGCCUACCCCUUAUCAAUCUUCUGCCUUCUGACAAUAGGCAUCUAAAUGGAUAAUUUAAGAAAACAAAAAACCCAAGGAACUUUAAA